ACAAUUUCUCAGAAUUCAGUCACCACAGCCCAGAUGAGAGGGUGCCAGGAGCUUCCAGAUCUGGAAUUGUCAGUGUCUAUGUGGAUACUGGGUCUUGCCUCACACCACUCACCUAUUGACUGGGGAUUACAAGCCAAAGGGUGAGCAAGCAAGGAGAUUGACAGCUCCUAGAAGAUAGAAUUCUCCACGGAGGGGGAGAUCAGAGGAAGAAAUUCGUUUUCUCCCUUCUUUAUUUUCCCUAAUUCCAUUGCCAGCAGUGGCUCCACAGUGAACCAACACAGAUCAUCUUUCAGCAGCCUUGUAUCUAUCAAUGGACAAUCAACUACCCACUGUGCUAAAUGAAGUCUUGCACUAGGUAUAAAAGUCAAAUAGAUUAAAGUGUAACUGUGAGCUGA